rnacentral:rRNA from 1 species
GACGAACCGUGCGAACGUUGUUCGGAAUUAUUGGGCGUAAAGAGCUCGUAGGCGGUUUGUCGCGUCGAAUGUGAAAACCCGGGGCUCAACUCCGGGCCUGCAUUCGAUACGGGCAGACUGGAGUGUUGCAGGGGAGACUGGAAUUCCUGGUGUAGCGGUGAAAUGCGCAGAUAUCAGGAGGAACACCGGUGGCGAAGGCGGGUCUCUGGGCAACAACUGACGCUGAGGAGCGAAAGCGUGGGGAGCGAACAGG